rnacentral:rRNA from 1 species
GAUGAACGCUGGCGGCGUGCCUAAUACAUGCAAGUCGAGCGAACGGACGAGAAGCUUGUUUCUUUGAUGUUAGCGGCGGACGGGUGAGUAACACGUGGAUAACCCACUUAUAUGACUGGGAUAACCUCGGGAAACCGGAGCUAAUACCGGAUGAUAUUCUGAACCGCAUGGUUCAAAAGUGAAUGACGGCCUUGCUGUCACUUAUAGAUGGAUCCGCGCUGCAUUAGCUAGUUGGUAAGGUAACGGCUUAUCAAGGCAACGAUGCAUAGCCGAACUGAGAGGGUGGUCGGCCACACUGGAACUGAGACACGGUCCAGGCUCCUACGAGAGGCAGCAGUAGGGAAUCGUCGGCAGUGGUCGAAAGCAUGACGGAGCGACGGCGCGUGAGUGAUGAAGGUCUUCGGAUCGUAAAGCUCUGUUAUUGGGGAAGAACAGAUGUGUAAGUAACUGUGCACAUCUUGACGGUACCUGAUCAGAAAGCCACGGCUAACUACGUG